UACGUAGGCAGCGAGCGUUGUUCGGAGUUACUGGGCGUAAAGGGUGCGUAGGCGGUUGUUUAAGUUUGGUGUGAAAUCUCCCGGCUCAACUGGGAGGGUGCGCCGAAUACUGAAUGACUAGAGUGCGGGAGAGGAUAGUGGAAUUCCUGGUGUAGCGGUGAAAUGCGUAGAUAUCAGGAGGAACACCGGUGGUGUAGACGGCUAGUCUGGACCGUAACUGACGCUGAGGCACGAAAGCGUGGGUAGCAAACAGG
rnacentral:rRNA from 1 species